CCCGUAGUGCUGACUUGAACAGGCUCCGAAGUGCAAAGCUGUUCUCUCUCUUAGGAGGACGUCUACUCCCAUAUAGGAGUUAGCUAUUUUAAACAACCACCUGGGCCCUGAUGUGGAAAUCAGAGCAGAAAAACGACAGAGGAUCAGUUAGGAUGCUGAUGGACGACUCCUUCACGUCCUAGGUUUCAGUCUAUGGGCGCUGGCUCUCUGGUCCCCGGGAUGUGAUAAACACCCAGUCACAGGAGAACACGAGGGCAGAGCUGCUCACUUUAAAUCCACGGCAAAGCAGACCCAGAGAGAAUGUCCCGCAAAGGAUUGGAUGGUCCUUACAUAUUCAGAGUCAUAGAGAAACUGUUUGCUGCCCAAACUAAAAGAAAAAAGAAACAACCCCCCAAAACACCAUCUUUCAUAAUUUUGGAAAUUUACUUAAAAUUGUGACACAUAUUAAGUGGAUUUGUAAUUUGUACCAUGAAUUUCAAAUACAAUGUUGGCUGCUUGUCUGUCCUGGAAUUUCCAUUUGUUUUUCCUUUAAGAGUAAACAUGUCCUCUUCCCAGGUCCGAGCGCCAGCGCACAGCCACCUUAUCUGCCAACCUCACUUCAGUUUUCUUCUUGAAGGCAUUGCAUCGGGACUGAGUGACUUCUAUUCCAAUGACUAGCGGUUUGAAGACUAGCACACCUACCACCUGGGACUGCUUUGGAGUCAGUGGACUCCUGGGUCACCCCCACCUCUCAUGUUCUUCAUUUUCCUCUUUGUUGGUUUGCACCUCAUGCACCUCCAUAUUUCUAAGUGUUUCUUCAGCAGCAGCAUCAACAAAAACAUUCAAGAGAGGAAAUUUUGGAGUAGGUGUGAACUGGAAAAUAUCUUUAGUGAACGUUCACACUGAUAAUUUGUCAGGAUACAGCAUUCUACAUUCAAAUAGUUCUGUUUGUUUUAAAGACAGUGUCUCUUUAUGUAGCCGGGGCUGGCCUGGAACUUACUAUGCAGAUCAGGCUGGCUUCUGACUCAAGAAAUCCCCCUGCCUCUACCUCUUGUGUGCUGGCAUUAAAGUUGUGGACCCACACCAAGAAUCUUCAAACCUCUUUCCUCUGAGAACGGAAAAGGCCCUGCUCCAUUCUGUUCAAGCCCAGUGUUUACAGCAAGAUGAAGCUUGUUGCAGUUCCUUGAAAAACCUUUCUCCCUAAAACCUUGAGAAGCUCCGUGGGCAUUGCAGCAGUGCGCACAGGAACCCGGGUGUGCGGCCGACAGAUGGCAGAUCAAGAAUGCGUGUCUAGGCAUGACAGAGCGUUAUGCAGACAUAGGAAGGCCAUCCUACCACUUGAGAAAAAUAUGGAAGACACUGUGCUGAGUGAA